GAUGAACGCUGGCGGCGUGCCUAAUACAUGCAAGUCGAGCGAACUGAUUAGAAGCUUGCUUCUAUGACGUUAGCGGCGGACGGGUGAGUAACACGUGGGCAACCUGCCUGUAGGACUGGGAUAACUUCGGGAAACCGAAUCUAAUACCGGAUAGGAUCUUCUCCUUCGUGGGAGAUGAUUGAAAGAUGGUUUCGGCUAUCACUUACAGAUGGGCCCGCGGUGCAUUAGCUAGUUGGUGAGGUAACGGCUCACCAAGGCAACGAUGCAUAGCCGACCUGAGAGGGUGAUCGGCCACACUGGGACUGAGACACGGCCCAGACUCCUACGGGAGGCAGCAGUAGGGGAUCUUCCGCAAUGGACGAAAGUCUGACGGAGCAACGCCGCGUGAGUGAUGAAGGCUUUCGGGUCGUAAAACUCUGUUGUUAGGGAAGAACAAGUACGAGAGUAACUGCUCGUACCUUGACGGUACCUAACCAGAAAGCCACGGCUAACUACGUGCCAGCAGCCGCGGUAACAC
rnacentral:rRNA from 1 species